rnacentral:rRNA from 1 species
UACAGAGGGUGCGAGCGUUAAUCGGAAUUACUGGGCGUAAAGCGUGCGUAGACGGUUAUUUAAGUCGGGUGUGAAAGCCCCGGGCUCAACCUGGGAAUUGCAUUCGAGACUGAAUAGCUAGGGUACGGUAGAGGGAAGUGGAAUUUCCGGUGUAGCGGUGAAAUGCGUAGAUAUCGGAAGGAACAUCAGUGGCGAAAGCGACUUCCUGGACCAGUACCGACGUUCAGGCACGAAAGCGUGGGGAGCAA